UGCGGUGUAGCAUAGAGGUAAGGCAUGGGGCUCAUAACCAAAAGGCUGCUGGUUCAACUCCCCUCUGUGG